rnacentral:rRNA from 1 species
UACGUAGGGUGCAAGCGUUGUCCGGAUUUAUUGGGCGUAAAGAGCUCGUAGGCGGUUUGGCAAGUCGGGUGUGAAACCUCCAGGCUCAACCUGGAGACGCCACUCGAUACUGCUAUGACUUGAGUCUGGUAGGGGAUCACGGAAUUCCUGGUGUAGCGGUGAAAUGCAUAGAUAUCAGGAGGAACACCGGUGGCGAAGGCGGUGAUCUAGGGCCAGUACUGACGCUGGAGGAGCGAAAGCGUGGGGAGCAAACAGG